GUCGUGACCCUGGCCGCGCUUCUCUCGUCAGACGCCGUGGUCGCCUGCAUCGACGUGGGCUUCUACGACAGGACGUGCCCGUCCGCCGAGACCCUGGUGCAGCAGACUGUGGCCGCCGCCUUCGGCAACGACUCCGGCGUCGCCCCGGCCAUCAUCCGCCUCCACUUCCACGACUGCUUCGUCAAGGGCUGCGACGGCUCCGUGCUGAUCGACUCCACGCCUGGCAACAAGGCGGAGAAGGACUCGGCACCCAACUUCCCUAGCCUCCGCUUCUUCGACGUGGUGGACCGCGCCAAGGCGGCCCUCGAGGCGCAGUGCCCCGGCGUCGUCUCCUGCGCCGACGUCCUCGCCUUCGCCGCGCGGGACAGCGUCGUUCUGUCGGGCGGCCUCGGGUACCAGGUGCCCGCCGGGCGCCGGGACGGCCGUGUGUCCACCGAAACGGACGCGCUCAACAACCUGCCCGGGCCGACGUCCACCGCCUCCGACCUGGUCGCCGGCUUCGCCGCCAAGAACCUCACCGUCGAGGACAUCGUCGUCCUCUCCGGCGCCCACACCAUCGGCGUCUCCCACUGCAGCAGCUUCACCGAGCGAAUCUACAACUUCCCCAACACAACCGACGGGAUUGACCCGAAGCUGAGCAAGGCGUACGCGUUCUUGCUCAAGGGCAUCUGCCCGCCGAACAGCAACCAGACGUUCCCGACGACGACGACCCUCAUGGACCUCAUCACGCCGGCGAGGUUCGACAACAAGUACUACGUGGGGCUGACCAACAACCUGGGCCUCUUCCAGUCGGACGCGGCGCUGCUGACCAACGCCACCAUGAAAUCGCUGGUCGACUCCUUCGUGCGCAGCGAGGCGGCGUUCCGGACCAGGUUCGCCAGGUCCAUGCUCAAGAUGGGGCAGAUCGAGGUGCUCUCCGGGGCACAGGGCGAGAUCAGGCGCAACUGCAGGGUCAUCAACCCCACCAACGUCACUAGUGCCGGCGCCGUUCACCAUCAUCUUCUCCCCAGAUCAUCAGCUUCUUCAGGAUCCAACCAGGUGGCCGCAAGCUGA
rnacentral:rRNA from 1 species